UACCUAAAAGCAGCAAUAUGUUGGAUCUUGUUGAUAUUGCUGUGUUCCAAGAAGCAAGAAGGGUUAUUGAUGCUCUUCAAAAUAGGGAGGUAGCUCCUGCUCUAGCCUGGUGCACGGACAACAAAUCACGGUUGAAAAAGUCAAAGGCACCAACUAAUCAUUCCUUAAGUUUCCUUAAUUGUGGGGAUUCCAGCUAUAUAAUGUCUAAACUUGAAUAAUUAGUAGAAUACUGACUCAGAUAGGAAUGGCUUUUUAUUAACUAAAUCAAUUUACCAUGAUUAAGAUUGGGAAAGUGGUUGCAGUAAAGCUCUUGUGAAGUUUCAAAUUGGUCUAUGAACGUAUAUUUCUUCUUUAAUACUUCUAUUCAAAAUUUAUGGGAGCACCUGCAUUGGUUAUAAUUUUUUUUGAUGCUUAUUGCUUUCUUUGAUGAUAGAGCAAAUUUGAAUUCUAGUUGAGACUUCAAGAAUUCAUAGAGUUGGUACGGGCUGAAAACAACAUGUGUGCCAUUGUCUAUGCACGAAAAUAUCUUGCUCCAUGGGGAGCUACAUAUAUGAAAGAAUUGCAGCAAGUCAUGGCAACAUUGGCUUUUAAGAGUCACACUGACUGUGCAACAUACAAGGUUUUAUUUGAACCCAAACAGUGGGACUACCUGGUGGACCAAUUUAAACAAGAAUUCUGUAGGUUAUAUGGCAUGACCCUGGAGCCUUUGCUGAAUAUAUAUUUGCAGGCAGGCUUAUCUGCACUGAAAACUCCGUAUCUGAUAUUCUUUGACUUUUUCAAAGUGUGUGAUUGCUUUCUCUCAUGGGUAUUGCUGUGCCCAAAUUUUUGACUACUCCUUGAGAUGCGUUUGCUGCCUGCAUGUAACAGGAAAUUAGGUGGUCCCUUAGCAGUUGACCUUUUGCUAGUGGUGAGAGUUGAGUUUGUUGUUUAUAACCUAUAUGUGUUAUGCUGGGUCUAGCAUCUUCAAUAUUGUCUCUUUAUUAAAAGUAAUCUGAUUCUUCAAAACUUAUAUAUAUACACCAUUUCUACAUAAAUUGGAGUAAAUUGCUUGCAUCCAAAUGAAAAACAGAAAAUGAGGAUACAUAUGUGAGUCAAAGAUGGAUGUUUUGAUUUUCUUAAGGUUUGUCAUGUAAUAUAGAUACAUUACUACCAAAUACUUGGUAUUUCAUUCUGGUUUGUAAAUUAUAUGAUGAACUAAAUAACUCAUUGUAAUAGCUGCUUUCUGGUAUCUAUGCUUGUAUCCUAAUUCUACACUGAGGUUAUUCAUGUGUGUUAUCCAAGAGAUUGCCUUUUCUCUUUCUUUUGUACCUUGACUAUCUUAGAUACUGCUACGAGGAUGAUUGCACAAAGGAGGACCCACUCUCACAAGAAAGCUUCCGGAAAUUGGCAUUGCCAUUGCCAUAUUCAAAGCAGCAUCAUUCAAAGCUUGUAUGCUACAUGACUAAAGAGUUGAUGGACCCAGAGAAUCCACCACAAGUCUUGCCCAAUGGCUAUGCCUAUAGCACUAAGGUUCAAAUUAGUCAAGUGGUGAAUUGAGUAAACUUUAUAUGGUUUGAUUAGUCUGACAUCUAAUUUUGGGCCCUGAAGGCGCUUGAAGAAAUGGCCAAGAAAAAUAAUGGUAAAAUAACAUGUCCUAGGACAGCAUUGAUAUGCAGUUAUUCUGAGGUGGUAAAAGCAUAUAUCUCAUAAUCUUCAUGUUUAAAGAUUGAAGAACUCAAAAGGAGUUUUCGUUGUUGGGCUUUGAAGUCAUCUAUGAAUACCAGUGAUGACGCAGAGAAAUUCCUUAUGCACCUUUGGCGUCGGCCUCAGGACUUGCCAUGUAUGUACAUAUGCAAAGUGUUCCAACUUUUAUUCACUUGUUUCUUUUGAAUUCUGAAUAAAGAAAACUCAAGUUAAUUCAGUUUCAAUUGAUUGUGAUC
rnacentral:misc_RNA from 1 species